rnacentral:misc_RNA from 1 species
GAUGAAGAACGUAGCAAAAUGCGAUAAGUAAUGUGAAUUGCAGAAUUCAGUGAAUCAUCGAAUCUUUGAACGCACAUUGCGCCCGCCAGUAUUCUGGCGGCAUGCCUGUUCGAGCGUCAUUUCAACCCUCAAGCACAGCUUGGUGUUGGGACUCGCGUUAAUUCGCGUUCCCCAAAUUGAUUGGCGGUCACGUCGAGCUUCCAUAGCGUAGUAGUAAAACCCUCGUUACUGGUAAUCGUCGCGGCCACGCCGUUAAACCCCAACUUCUGAAUGUUGACCUCGGAUCAGGUAGGAAUACCCGCUGAACUUAAGCAUAUCAAUAAGCGGAGGA